CAGUAGCCACGGUAAUACGAAGGGGGCUAGCGUUGUUCGGAUUUACUGGGCGUAAAGCGCACGUAGGCGGAUUCUUAAGUCAGAGGUGAAAUCCCAAGGCUCAACCUUGGAACUGCCUUUGAUACUGGGGAUCUCGAGUCCGGGAGAGGUGAGUGGAACUGCGAGUGUAGAGGUGAAAUUCGUAGAUAUUCGCAAGAACACCAGUGGCGAAGGCGGCUCACUGGCCCGGUACUGACGCUGAGGUGCGAAAGCGUGGGGAGCAAACAGGAUUAGAUACCCCCGUAGUCCCUGUCUCUUAUAC
rnacentral:rRNA from 1 species